rnacentral:misc_RNA from 1 species
CUUGGUUGUGGCCAACCAACACAGCGAUGGUAUAACAUUCCAUGGUCCUGGUUGAAGCCAAUGAAAAAUAUGUUGGUAGUUUUUGAAGAGCUAGGUGGAGAUUUAUCAAAGAUAUCUCUUGUUAAGAGAUCAAUCACAAGAGUUUGCGCUGAUGCCUAUGAGCACCACCCAGCCAUUGAGGAUUAUCAUACAGAGAACCAUGGUGAAUCAGCCAUGCUUCACCAAGCCAAUGUUCACCUGCGGUGUGCACCUGGGCAUUCGAUAUCAGNNNNNNNNNAAAUUUGCAAGUUUUGGUACUCCUUCGGGAACUUGUGGAAGUUUUCAGAAAGGAACUUGCCAUGCACCAAACACUCAUUCCAGUAUAGAAAAGAAAUGCAUUGGACAUGAGAGCUGCAUGAUUACCAUAUCGAGCAGCAACUUUGGUCCUGACCCAUGUCCAAAUAUGUUCAAGAAGCUAGCAGUUGAUGCUGUUUGUUCUGCAAUAAGUACAGUCAUUCAACCCAAUUCAAAGGAAUAGAAGGAAAUUAUCAUUAUUUAUCCUGCAGGC